UACGUAGGGGGCAAGCGUUGUCCGGAUUUAUUGGGCGUAAAGAGCGUGUAGGCGGCCAGGUAGGUCAGCUGUGAAAACUCGAGGCUCAACCUCGAGACGUCGGUUGAACCACCUGGCUAGAGUCCGGAAGAGGAGAGUGGAAUCCUGGUGUAGCGGUGAAAUGCGCAGAUAUCAGGAGGAACACCAAUUGCGAAGGCAGCUCGCUGGACGUUACUGACGCUGAGACGCGAAAGCGUGGGAGCAAACAGG
rnacentral:rRNA from 1 species